GGUGGACAUGCUGUUUCUCCAGAGGAGGAGGAGGAGGAGGAGGAGGAGUCCCUGUUCCCUUUAUCCCCGGAGACAGGAGGGGAUCCGACACCCUGGAGGAGACACAGAAAAAUGACCCUAAGUAUGACACAUCUCCACGGCUGAACACAUCCAUGUGACACAUCCACGGAGGACUCACCCGUCUCUCGUGCUGUCCAUGGCGGCCAGUGGGGACAGAUGAUGAGGGCUGCCGAGUUCCCGGUCCAGUCGGUGCUGUCGGGACGUCAGUAAAUCUACUCUCUCCAUCGUCCGCUUCAUUCAUCGGCUGAUGUCUUUCCCAGCGUCCAUGAGGAGAGCUGUGCGCUGACUUUCUGGGACAGUUAACCAGUGACGAGAGGAGAAGACAAGGGGAGAUGAAAGGAGGAGAAAAGAUCGCUGCUCCUGGUUUUGCCGUUUCCAGGGCCAGCUGUUCUCAAGUGGAAGCAUGCCGAGGCCUGAUCUGACAGCACUCUGAAAUGGUUACAAGCUUGAUUCAUUACCCCCAAAUCAUCAAUCACAGACCUUAAAUGUUUUCCCCUUUAGCCCCAACAUCUGCUACCAGACCUGCAAAACAGUCGACAAAUAAUGGCCGUGAUUGCCUCAGUUUCAAUGCUGGUUCCUUGUGGAGGGAGAGAGAGAGUGGAUGUGAUGGCACUCUUGAAGAGUUAGCAGAGGAUUAUGUUCUGAAAAUGUUGUGGAUUGCUCUGAAAGGCUUCCGGUCGAGUUCAGAAAGAAAGCUCUGUGUGAGAGGGCGAUGGAGAGGUACAUAAGCCUCUCAGCAUAACAGCAGGAGCAUGUAAACCUCUGUACUAAAACUAUGAUGAGUCCUUCCUCUGGUUAAUCAGAGAACACUUUAAUUAUGCUCUAUAAAACAGAGAGUGGCUUCUCGUAAGUCUCACUGCAGCCAUGUGAAUAAGAGCAGACUUAUAAGCCGUGAACAGGAAAACAAGUUAAGCUCUGACUGGAAGCAUGACUCAUUUUCUGCUCCACAAGUGUUAAUGAUGGGAUGGCUGCCCACUUUGCCCCACCUCUUCCAUGCAUCCUAUUGGCCCUGGAACAAAGUGAAACUCAUGCAAAAUGGGGUUCUUGCAUGCCAACCUGCAACAUCUUUGCUGGCCUCAAAUAACACUGCAUCCCUGAGCACUUUGGCAUCGGCUCACGGGCGAGCUCCUCUGGGCUCUAAAACAUUUAAAACAAGAGAGCAAGCAACAUCCACUCAGAAACAGAGGGAGGUCAAGGUGGAAAAGCCGAGACUCAGAGGCCUGGUUCAACAUUCAAAGACAAGUUGAACAUUCAGUCAUCAACGGGACGCUGGAGUUCCAGCAACAAUAACAGAGAGCAACGGGGAGCCUGGAUGGGGUACUGGCAGAAAACAAGGACAGAUGUGUCCAUAAACUAAGGAAGCUGCAGGGCAUCUCUCUUGUCUUUAAGAUUGUUAUAAUAAUAAUAUAUUUAUCUCUCUCUUGUUCUCAAUCUAAAGCAGUGUUGACGUUUGGUGACGGUCAAAUUCAUCAAUUCUAAAAUGGAAGUUUAAUGGCUAUAUAUGACGAAUAAAAGUUUCUGUUUGUG